UUAUGGCUGCCACUCAAGGUUU
rnacentral:siRNA from 1 species